GAGGCACUGCGAAGAAAAAGCGUUUCUUUCUGGAGGAUAAAUAACGUGCAGAGAAGGCCUGGGAAGGCGGGUGAGGAGAGCGGGGUUUGAUCUUGCCGGGGUUUAUGUUUUAUGAGAGAAAUGCAGGCUCGGUGAAAAGCCGUGGCCCAGGAGAAAGUGGGCAAAUUGUCAACGUAAAUGUGGCACCGCAUAAACGUUUGGAAACACUGAGUAACUCCAGUCUUCUUAAGGCAAACAAUCUCUUUCAGCCACUUGGGUUGACCAAGGGACGUGAAUGCCAUCAGUAGACUUUGCUGGGGCUCCGGAAGGUGCAGAGUUCCCAAGCAGAUGAAUGGUCAACGUGGCCGCAUCCUGCGCUCACUGGCAUCGUGAAGGCAAGAAAGCCUUUUUGGUCUGCAUCUACUGUGGGUAGGAUGGAGUCCAAGGUGAACUACGUCAGCAUGGAUUUAAAGACAAGAUCGCCACCAGCAAAUAAAUCCAAAAUAUUGCUGAAGCAUUGCAAAGUGUAGCCAGACUUAUCCGCUUUCAUGUAACUUAUACAGCAUGUGUCACCACACUGAGCAGGCUGAGUGGUGCAGAAGGGAAGCAGCCGUAACGGAACUGAAAGUUUCAUCCAGGUCUAAGUGACGGGGAGGCAACUUGUGACCUGGGAGACUUGGCUUUUAACCCAACCUGUCCUGGCUAUGAAAUCCAGUUCCUCCAUUCUCAGGAGAGAAUCUUCAGAGAUAUUUAUGCUCUAUGAAACACAGAAAUACUUAUAAAUAACCUUCAGAACACUAGCGUCUUAAUGUUUUGUUACCAAUUUCAAACCAUAGUGACUGUCACACACGUUAACGGAGAAUAUCAAGAACUAAUUUUGCACUGAGCAUCAGCCAACACGUAGGGUGCAUUUACGCUGCCAUUUUUGCUCAGAUCAGAAGAGCGUUUCUGAAGUCGGCAUCCCGGUUGUCCUGACUUUGUCUUGCUUCACAUUUUGGAGUGGCAUCUGGGCGUACAAAGUGUAUCACUUUCAGAAGAAACUAAACCAGAUGUUCUCCAGAAACACAUUCAGUGUGCCCUGACCACUGACACUCAUUCUGCUGUUCAGCACCAGAUUACAACUAGUCCGAAAUAAAACCCUGUAAAAUGUUCGUGGUGUGAACAUUGGGCUCUGUAAGACAACUGGUUUAAUCUACGAUUCUGCCCCCACUGGUCAGCGCUACUUGCUAACGCAGACGUACCACAGAGUGGCAGCCAUGGUGUUUGCAUCUUUAAGUUUCUCAGGACUGUCCCUUGAGGAAUACAGUCCGGUGCUUAUUUCUGGAGCUGGAUGCCUAGAUUCUCAUUCACACUGAUUGCUAGGUCAACUAUGAGGUCUUUCAUCUCGUCCAGCCACACCCUGCUAUUCAUUUCCCUUUCAGUAUUUACUGUCAUCACUGUGCCCUCACUUUUCUGUCCUUCAGCUCUGGUUGAGUGGAUUGACCUUAAUGACUGGGGGCAUUUGGUGAGGGUGGUGGAAGUAAAGAAUCAAAAGCGGUAAGAACAUCCAGGCCGAAAGAUUUACGCUGGGUAUUCGGUCUCGCAGAUGAAGUGGUUCAGAGCCUUCAAAAUGGUGAUUCCUUCUGGGAACGGACCUCCAGACAGGCUCAGCUGGGCAUUACAAGAUUCAAGCUGGUGUUACAGAGGGAGCGGCUGAUCAGAUCUUCAGGCCAGUAGACAGUCAUCUCUUGAUUUUUAUUUUAAAAAGAAAUCAUCUCCUCCAGCCACUGAAAAGCUCGCUCUGAAGCACCAGCAUGUCCUCCACCUCUUCUGCCACUACUGGAUGUUGAGUUUGCUGUCAACUUCUGUAAUGAGCCAUUACAACUAUUGUAACGAUCGCCAUUAAAAGAGCAGGAAGGUAUCAUGA